CCUACGGGAGGCAGCAGUGAGGAAUAUUGGUCAAUGGACGAGAGUCUGAACCAGCCAAGUCGCGUGAAGGAUGACUGCCCUAUGGGUUGUAAACUUCUUUUAUAUGGGAAUAAAAUGUUCCACGUGUGGGAUUUUGUAUGUACCAUAUGAAUAAGGAUCGGCUAACUCCGUGCCAGCAGCCGCGGUAAUACGGAGGAUCCGAGCGUUAUCCGGAUUUAUUGGGUUUAAAGGGAGCGUAGGUGGGUUGUUAAGUCAGUUGUUAAACUUUGGGGGUCAACCCUAAAAGUGCAGUUGAAACUGGGGGUCUUGAGUACAGUAGAGGUGUGCGGAAUGCGUGGUGUAGCGGUGAAAUGCAUAGAUAUCACGAAGAACCCCGAUUGCGAAGGCAGUUCACUGGACUGCAACUGACGCUGAGGCACGAAAGUGUGGGUAUCGAACAGGAUUAGAUACCCCUGUAGUC
rnacentral:rRNA from 1 species